UAGAGCGAGCGAUAUUUAUUGACCUGACACAUGACGAGGAGGCUGGCUCCAGCAGCGCGUCCGAUAGAUCUUACCAGCGUCUGAAGAGGAGGUUGGCUCCAGCAGAGCGGUUCCGGACCCCUCAUUAUUAAUCGAAAGGAGUUGUGAUCUUACCGCGGGUGGUGACGCAGGCAGCGUAGUGCCAGAGCCGUCAUUAUUCAUCGAAAGGAGUUGCGGAUC